CUUCCUCUCAAAUUCAGGGGAAGAACUGCAAAAAUAUUAAAAAAAAAAACCAAAACCAAACAACCCAACCCCAAAACCUUUUUGGGUUUUGAAAGCUUUUUCCUACCCUGUUCCAGAAGGGGCCAUUAAUUGUAGAGAAUUUCAAUUGCAGAAAGUCUGACUAUUGAGUCAAAGAGUCUUUUUGAGCCUAACCAGAUGUGUGAGGCUUUUGUAAGUCACUCUCAACAUCACAGCAGCUCAAUAUAGUUAGCAUUGCUCAGAAUUUUCAUUGCCAGUGGCAGUAAAUAUGUCUGUAUGCAUUUCAUUGUAGAGACCCCUGCAAGCAUCCAGGAACCAAAACUUUCCCUCCACACCCCAGCCACCGAAAUGAGAUUAUGCACUGAUUGCAUAAUUACUGUAUAACAAGGUUUGCUCAGCCCCUCCGUGCACAAUGCCUGUUUUCAUAGCAUUUAAUAGGAGAGACAUAAUAGGCACCAGCUUGAAUAGCCACAUGCCAACGAGGCAUUGCAUUUCCCAAAGCAGCUUGAGUCUGCAAAAUCUGGUCCAGCUGCUCAGAACACAGAAGGGUGACAAGCGAGUGACUCCCAGCCUGUGUUGGGGCAGGAUUUGGAAUGUGCACGGGAAUUUGGAAUGUGUCCCUUCCCCAGACUGAGGUGGGCUGGCUGCCUUGUAGCACUGGCUGGGUUGUUUCUUCAGGCUACCACAAGCCAGCUACAUUAACGCUGUGGCCUUCACAUGUGUUUUUCCUGCACCAGCAUUUGCAAAUCUGGACUGAUAAUGCUCUCUCUAAUUUUGCUCCGUCUGCUGCUGCUCUGGUCUUUCCUCUUUGCUCUGAGUGAAUGAUUUAAAAUGGCUCAAAUCCCACACAAGGCUUGUUUUUGUAAUGAGUUAGGCAGCAAAUUUGCUCAUGUAUUCAGCCCUGGCUUCAUCCUGAGUGGUAUGGAUCUGGAGCAGCCCAUAAACAGCAAUUUGCUCAUCUUUUAAGCUCUAUUGUUUAGGCAAUGGAUUUUACUUGGAUGGUUGAAGGCCAGCCCUCUCCUCGCACAAAAUGUUUUCUCUGCUCCAACAAUAACUACAACCCUUUCUUUCUGCUUUGCAUUUAUUUGCAAUUAAAAUAAAUGGACCAAAUGCUACCAGAUGAAAUGAGCACCACAUUCCUUGUUGACUCACCCACAGCUCCAGCAGGUCCCCUGGCCCCGAGGUCGCUCCUUGUCCUCUCCACUCAUUUUAUAUCGCUGAUGUCUUGGCUUUCCUUUCCUAAAACACAAAUACUUCAGGGACUUAGUGGGUCUUUUCUCAGCCUGUCUCUGGAAGGGGCACGUUGAUGGAGCACAGUAGUUACAGCAGCAUUCUGGACACACAGGUUUAUUCUGGGGAACGUGAAGGAGCAGAGCUGGGACCUGUCUCCCUGUGACAGUAGAGCUGUCCAUAAGUGUCUGCCUGUUCAAAGUGAGUGGCAAAGAAAAGAUUAUGGGCCUGAGCUGAUUGAAGGUAAUUCUUUUAAAGGUUAGGUUGAAACCUUUAGGUUGAAACGUGCUGUCUGGGGAAAAAAAAAAAAAAAAAAAAAAAGUGAAGCAUUUUGAGAAAUUUUCAGGCUCUUUAGUAUCAGACAUAUACACUUUGGGGAAAGAGGUUUUCCUGUUCUCAUCCUUUCAUUAUCCACCAUCUCCUCCAGCUCAUGGCUCGAAGUCGCUCAGAUCACACUCCUUGGUUGGCCAUCGUGCAGUGCUGUGAUUUGUCUCUCUGGUUUGGGAAGUGCCCAGAACAGAUUCUGCCCCCAGCACCAGCUGGGCUGGCAGUGCAGCAAGAGAGUCAGGACAGGACAAACUCAGGGCAGUACACACAUGCCUGUGCCAUGCUGGAGAAAUCCACCUUCCUCACUAUUUUCUGCUGGUGAUAUAACCAGCAGAAAGCUUUUUGGGGAAAGGCUUUCUAAGUCUCAAGUGUGCUAAGGAAGGCACUUAGGCUGUUGGGAAGGUAAUGCCCCUGUUAAAGUCCUUCACCCUUUCUUACUCUGCUCACUCACUGCCAGAAAUUGAUUAGCAGCUUUCAUGGAAAGGCUGGCAAAGGGAGCUUUCCUGGUGUAGCUUUAUGAGCAAUGCCAGAACCCUCAGCUGCACUGAAACACUUUGAAAUGGAGAGCAGCGGAGACAGACCUGGGAUGGAGAGCAGUGGAGAUGGAUCUGGGAUGGAGAGCCCUGGAGAUGGAUCUGGGAUGGAGAGCCCUGGAAGCACAGACAGUCAGCAAAUAUGUGGGGCAGGAGAGGAAAUGCCAAUGAUUCCUGGGCAGACCUUCACUCCUGCCAAAUAUGCCCUUGGGCCCUUCAUAUCCCCAGAGAGGAAAUAUUUUUAAAGUUUUUGCUAGACUUUACAAAGAAAAUCAGGUUUUUAGGGUCCUUCUAGAGGGAUGUACUGAGCAGGAGAGGAGUGUGGCCCUUUAGGUUGGUCUCUGUCCCACUGGGGUGCUGGCAUGAUGCAUUGCCAGGUCAGCCUAAUCCCAAACCCGCCGAAUGCUCCAGGCGAGAGUGGUCACGGUGUUUUCAAUCCAUCUGUUUUUAUCAAAGCACAUGGGUGGCUUUGAGCAUGGAUGCAUUUGGCACCCAGGGGUACCAACCCCGUGACUGCUCCCAGCCCAUGCACAGCCCAUGCCCCAGCCACGGUGAGAGGGCAGGGGAAAAGCCACAGCGAGACAAGGAGCUGCUGCACAGAAAAUGGACAUUUUGACAGGCUCCCAUCUCAUAUUAGAAGUGUUUUGAUUUCGUUUCCUCUGCAGAACAUAAACAGAUUUUGAAACCUCAGAAGUUGCCAUGAGACAAAACCCGCUGUUUCCUGGCCAGCUCUAAUUGUGGUUUGAGACCAGCCCUUGCCUAUUGAAGUCAGAAGUUACACAAGGGAGGAUCCUGGCUCAGCACAGAUUUGUGUGGAGAAAUGUGAUUUGUCACUAUCUCUUUAAGCAGAGUUAACUCUUCAGUUAAAGAAUUUUUUUGUGUUUGUCUCUCUCUACUACCAGCAAAUACCUGCAAAAAGUGUCCUACAGGCAGUGUGAGAAUGGGAAGGGCUGAUGUGAAUCUGGCAUGUGAUGUAAGCAUGGCAAUGCCCUGCUUUUAUUCCCUGGAGUGCUGGGAUCUGAGUGCAGCCAUGGGGCAACACUCCUCGUGCCCCCCCAAAAACUGAGCUGAGCCUGAAGCAACAUCAUUGCCUUCCUCAUGUGGGAAGGGUGCUUCCUUCUCCCUGUCCUCUAAAUCCACAGCCUGAGACUUUUAGAGUUGUCUUGGAGAGUUUAAUGAAGAAGGGAAAAAAAAAAAAAAAAAAAAAAAAGGAAGAAAUGAGCCACUCAAUUCCUGCAGACAGCUUUGAAAAUAUCAACCUUGACAGCUUUGAAAAUAUCAGCCUCGUAUUUCUGGGCAGCUCAGGAGCUCAGGAGUGCUGACAAAGUGGCCAGAAUUAGGGAAGAGCAAGAAAAAUGGUGAAGUGCUUGGGUAGAAGGGCUUGGCCACGGUGGGAGGAGGCACUGAGAGUUGCAUGACUGCAUUGGAAGAGGAAAAUAUCCAAGGGGCAAGAGGGGGGUUGGACAGAGGUGGUUGACGUUGAGACAAAUAAAAGCCAACAGUGGCAGCACACCAGGAAACCUUUCCUCAGUCUGAACUUCAACCCAUUGUGAAACCUCCCCUCUGGGGAAAUGCUGGAAACCCCCGAGGUCAUGUCAACAACAGUGGGGCUGGCUGGAGCCACAGGAGGAAAUAGAGCUCUGGAGAGAGCCGGUGUACCUGGGCUCUUGUGAUUUAUCUGCUCACAUCAAAGCAACCCGUCCUGCAGGGCUCAGUGCAGGCAGGGACCUGACUGGCAGCCAGGCUUGGCAGAGCAGGGCUGGGAAAAGCCAAUUUUGCAACUGGUUGGUUGAGUUACAACAGGAGUGCACAGACCCACUGUCUGUACAGGCACUAAAUCUGCAGGCCAGUGUUUUUCUUUAGGAUCAGGGUUUCAUCUAAGAGAAAAUCCUAAUUUUACUGUCUGGUACCAAACAAGUUGACAGCACUGCCCAGGAUUUAUAAAUAUAGGACUUCUUUCAAAAUAAUCAGCGCUGCUCUUGACCUGAAUUCAGGCUGUUAGGUUUUUCAUCCCCUCUCAUGACAAUUUUAUUUUGCCACUACACAGAUUUUUCUGCAAUGACUAAUUUUGAGGAUGGUAAGCUCACUGCUGCAAAACAGCAUCAAAAAUGUGUGGUUAUCAGGAGCAAUGGGUGCCAAAGGCACAAAUCUUACAGCUGUGUGAGGGGAAGCGACAACAGUCUCUGAAUACAGAAUUAUUUGCAUCCCAUCUUUGUCCUAGUGCCUCUGUAAAAGAAAAACAAUCCUUUUAUUUUUUUUUAAUGUCUAAGGAAUAACAUCAUAAACCAAAAAAUCCCUGCAAGUUACUGUUAAAUUUCCUUUGUGGUGUCUGUAGCAAUCCCUUAAAGGGUCAGCUCUGAGCAUUUCUUAAUUUUGCAAGGAUAACACAGGAAACGACUGCAACUGCGUUGAUGACCAGGAGAAGCAGAAGUGGCCAGAAAACCAGAGAAUCAUGGAAUAACCUGAGAUGGAAGGGAUCCACAAAGAUCACUGAGUCCAGCUGCUGGCACUGCACAGGACAACCCCAGGAAUCACACCAUGUGCCUGAGAGUAUUGUCCAAACGCUUUUUGAACUCUGGAAGGACUGAAGAUGUGACCACAUCCCUGGGGAGCCUGUUCCAGUGCUCAACCACCUUCUGGACAAACGGGGAUGAUUUCAGCCUGGGACUGAAGCAGGAGGGAGCAGAUUUCUGCUCCAGUGCUUAAAUUCCUAAAACCGGGCCUGUGUGUCCUGGAAGCAGAAGGAUGGUCUGAUCAUGAUGCAUGGACACAUAAAGGAAUGUCAUGAAACCAGACAGCACUGGACUGGCUCCACAUGCUGCUCUCAGUUUCUUCCCCAAGUCAGUAGGCGAGUGGCCAUAUCUCCAGCCGGAGGUCAGACUGACCCUGGGAAACGUAGACAAUGCAGCUCACCCUGUUUGUAAACUGAGUCCAACACCAGGAGCUGUAAGAUGAGGUGGCCCAAGCCAGAAACCUCAACCCCAUGACCUGACUUGGUCAGCCCUCCAUGACCCUGGCACAACUAAACCCUACACUUUAUCAUGAAACAGCAGAUCCUGUGUCCUUUUGUGGUCAUCCCAAUCAAGGUCAAACUGGCACAAGCGGGUUAAUGCUGGGACUCAGUGAAAAACUUCUGUUUGUUGAGCUGAGUGAGAGCCUGAAGAUGCUGCAAGGAGGAGAGCCAGGCUGACACAGAGCAAGGAAAAACUAAUGGCUUUUAGUAUUUCUCAUUUAUUUUGCCCAGUUACUUGGAACACCUUCUUUGAGGAUUUUUUCCCCCCUUUUUGCUUCACGGCAAUUACCUCUGAUUGUUUCAAACUAUUAGCAUUCAGAAAUAAAGCACCAUUAUCUCUUUCCAAUAUUUUUCGCGGGUUUUUGAUUUCAAAUCCAUCCAAUAAACCCAACCUGAAUUAAUGAGCCUGCCUAGGCAGUUUUUCGAUAAAGGCAAGGAGACAUCCCUGCUUUUGCUGCUGCUUGUCAAUGCCCACCAGUCACCUCAUGCUGCU